UUGUUGCUCGUCUGCUCGUGCGCGUGAGGGUAGCGCGAAGAAGCGCUGCGUUUCACGAGGCGCACCCCGUGUCCCUGGACUGCGUCGAAUCCUCAGCGUGCUGGCGCAGCAGCAUGGAAACUGACGGAGACGAUCUCUCGAGAUACUGAUGGAGGCAAGUCACGAGCUGAUGAUGUCAUAUUCGUUCGCGGCGGUAGCCAGUGCCCCGGAAACGUCGCAGUGAGCUCGAGCGUCACCUCUGAUCACCAGAGCUCAACGUGGCGUACUGGACCCCGAAUCGCCGAACGUCAUAUCCAAGGAAUGGUAGACACAUCGUGCCUGGCUGGAAGCCUUGCCUCCUGCGGAAAUGCGUGUUCCAUGAACGAGCAUCGUAGAGCAAAGCUGUAGCAGAGCCCGGAUCCGAGCGCAUUCGCCUUCUCAAGCUCCUCCCUGAUGUCUUCCUGAUUCGUCAGAUCGAGGUCUAUUGUAUCACCAAAGAGUCUUCAGUGGUAUAUGGCCGCUCUCAGUGAGCUACGACUGGUCUCUGCAAGCAACGAUGAAGCAUUAUGACAACUUUACGAAAAGCACUGGUGGAGCUCGCUCAAUCUUUUCCUUCAACACAAUGGAAAUAGAAUGAACUGAACAGGGACGAUCAACACUUUCGGACGAUCGACCUGCAUGCACUUUGUGAAACCCUGGUCUCAGUCGAACAAUGAGACUCAUUUUCAACCGUUUUUAGGUAGAUGAAUAGAGAUAGUUUCAGAUACGCGGGAGUCCGGGUUCCGGGGCACCGCGGCCGUCGCCAUACCAGCAGAUCGAUCGAGGCGGUGGAGCCCACGACCUCACAAGAAAACUAGAUGGGGCUGCGCAUCUUCUUCCAAUGCUAGGUUGCAUCGCUGGCCGGGUAUCGUGGCCACCAGGACGCAUAUGGUCAAGCGGAAUGACAGCAACGGGAUCGAUGUCGACACCCUGAGCAUCCUGUCGAAUCGAGACGGCUGUUUCAUGCGCUUCAUUCAGAGACAAUAUAUGACCGUGCCAUCGGCGCAUGCGGACGAUCUUUGGCAGGAGGAUCUGACAGACUGCGCUGCGAUCGCGAACAGUAUCGGUGGUGCGGAGGCAACAGGCGUGGCUUUACCAGCCUGUUCAGUGCACCACAUAAGGAGCUGAUGGAUGCGUCCCGUUAUUUGGUCAUAGCCUACCGCGCUGAAUAUGCUGUAGCGCGCAUCAUCUGCACUCCUGCUCCUUCGACGUGCGCGGACAAGGAAAACAGGAAUCGAUUCUGUAAGAUUCUCAUCGAUGCGUUCAGGACGACAUCCACACAUGAAGAGAAUGGGAGCACGUUGCAUGAUCUAGAAAAGAUAACAGUGAAACACAGCCGAAUGCUCGAUACGGUGCUGGGUAAGCUGAGCGAGCGUCGGAAGGCGAGGUGCUCGAAUAGCGAGGCUUUCUAUGAGGUCAUUUCACCUGUGCAACAAUGGACGUUACCGCUUUCCACACUGAGCAUUCUACACCGCGAUCAACUUGCCGGAAUGCACCGUGCCUCGGCAACAUCCAGCAGCUUUGCGUUGAGCGAAAUUCCGUCAGAAUCCCAUACUACAAAGUCUGCGCAUUGUACUGAAACUCUGAAGACCUUUGGUGAAUAGAGAACCACUGACCAGGAGCGAAGACUCCCAGAAUCCUCUACGGCAAAGUCUGGGCAAUGUACUGAAACGCUGAAGAUGUUCGAUGAAAAAGGAACCGGUGACCAGGAGCGAUGCGUUCGUAUGUAAUCGCCCGGAGCAAGGCGCUGGUUCGGUACGAGUCAGCUAUCCGGCAAGGUUGCGACGCCGUAUAAUCCACCCACUCACACACAUUCACACAAGGAAGCAGUGUCCUGGACAUUUGAUAAACGAUCA
rnacentral:misc_RNA from 1 species